rnacentral:lncRNA from 1 species
GAUGAAGAAGGCUAUCAUGAUUCUGCUUAACGGGGAGAGCAUCCCGCAUCUAUUCAUCACCAUCAUCCGCUACGUACUCCCUUCCGAAGACCACACAAUCCAGAAGCUCCUCCUUCUGUACCUCGAGAUCAUUGAUAAGAAGGACUCUUCCGGAAAGGCACUUCCGGAAAUGAUCUUGAUUUGCCAGAAUUUGAGGAAUAAUCUUCAGCAUCCCAAUGAGUAUAUCCGGGGCGUUACACUUAGGUUUCUUUGUAGGCUCAAUGAGACUGAAAUUAUCGAGCCGUUGAUCCCCUCAGUUCUCUCCAAUUUGGAGCAUAGACAUCCGUUUAUAAGGAGAUACGCUAUUCUUGCAAUCAUGUCUAUCUACAACCUCCCUAAUGGGGAUCAGCUUCUGGUUGAUGCUCCUGAGAUGAUUGAGAAGGCAUUGUCUAGUGAACAUGAUGCCUCUGCCAAGAGGAAUGCUUUCUUGAUGUUGUUUCAGUGUGCACAAGAUCGAGCUGUGAAUUAUCUUUUGUCACAUGUAGACAAUGUUGCUGAUUGGGGUGAGUUGAUGCAAAUGGUUGUUCUAGACCUGAUCCGUAAGGUAUGUCGGACAAACCGUGGUGAGAAAGGCAAGUACAUUAAAAUCAUAAUUUCACUGUUGAAUGUACCUUCCACAGCUGUUGUAUCUGAAUGUGCCGGAACACUUGUGUCGCUGUCGUCUGCACCUACUGCUAUCAGAGCUGCUGCCAAUACCUACUGCCAGCUUCUUGUCUCGCAGAGUGAUAACAAUGUGAAACUUAUUGUGUUGGACAGGCUUAAUGAGCUUAAAGUCUUACACAGAGAGAUCAUGGUCGAUAUGAUAAUGGAUGUGCUCAGGGCUCUUUCUAGUCCUAAUCUUGAUAUCCGCAGGAAGACAAUUGAUAUUGUUCUCGAACUUAUAACCUCUAAGAACAUUGAUGAGGUUGUACUUACACUUAAGAAAGAAGUUAUGAAGACACAGAGCGGAGAGCUAGAAAAUAGUGGGGAAUAUAGGCAGAUGCUUAUUCAAGCUAUACACACAUGUGCUAUCAAGUUCCUUGAGGUUGCCAGCACAGUUGUCCAUCUAUUGAUGGACUUCUUAGGAGAUAGCAAUGUGGUUUCAGCUCUUGAUGUUGUCCUGUUUGUGCGUGAGAUUAUUGAAUCGAACCCCAAGCUUCGGGUGUCUAUUAUUACAAGAAUGUUAGACACUUUUUACCAGAUCCGUGCUGCACGCGUGUGUUCAAGUGCUCUCUGGAUAAUUGGGGAAUACUGUCUCUCUCUAUCUGAAGUGGAGUCUGGGAUUUCUACAAUUAAGCAGUGCAUUGGUGAUCUUCCAUUGUACACUGUUAGCGACGAAACCGAGACAACACCAGAUAAACAAGUGAAUUCUCAGAAAAUAAACUCUUCUGCUGUUGCCUCAUCUAGAAAGCCUGCUGUUCUUGCUGACGGAACGUAUGCUACACAAAGUGCUGCCUCUGAAACUGCAGUUUCUGCUCCAACUCUUGUUUCUGGAACUCUAUCAUCACCAGGGAAUUUGAGAUCAUUGAUCCUCACUGGGGAUUUUUUCUUAGGUGCCAUUGUUUCAUGCACCUUGACAAAACUUAUCCUGAGACUUGGAGAAGUGCAACCAUCUAAAGUUGAAGUCAACAAAGCAUGUACAAAUGCCUUGCUAAUUAUGGUUUCCAUGCUACAAUUGGGGCAGUCAUCAUAUCUUCAACACCCAAUUGACAAUGAUUCUUAUGAUAGGAUAUUAGUGUGCAUAAGGUUACUCUGCAAUACUGAUAAUGAAGUUAGGAAGAUAUGGUUGGAGUCGUGCCGUCAGAAUUUUGCAAAAAUGCUGGCAGAAAAACAAUUUCGUGAGAUUGAGGAGAUAAAGGCAAAGGUUCAAGUAUCUCAUGCACAACCCGACGAUCUCAUUGACUUCUACCAUUUGAAGAGUAGAAAGGUAUGUUUUGUAAUAUUUAUUGUCAUCAAAUUACUUUGAUUUUAACUCCAGUAUUGAUUUUUUAAUCUUUGAUUUGAGCCAUACGGAGAAUAGUCAAGCUAUCUAAAUUUACCAAUCCAAAACACUGAAAAAUAUUCAUACAUAUUCUAUUAUUAUCAAAUCAUUCAAAUAUCAAUAUGGAUAAUAUUUCAAUCAGGUUUUCUUUCGGUUAAUUGUUUGAAUUUGUCUUUUAUGGUUAUUUAGUUUUUUGGCUAUUCCAGCUGAUUGGCCUUUGGAUGAUAAUUUUAAAACCUAAUGAACUUAUAAACCUAUAGGCCAUGGUGUAAAUAGUCAUCUUACACUAAAGAUCAGAUGAAUUUUGUCUCAUAUUAUUUCUUUUGGACUCAAAAAACAAUAUAUAGAUAGAAUAAUCAAUCAUCAAUUACAGAUUGCUUGACUAUUCUUCGAUUUCACAGGGCAUGAGCCAGCUUGAGUUGGAGGAUGAGGUUCAAGAUGAUUUAAAGCGUGCAACUGGAGAGUUUGUAAAUGAUGGCGACGAAGCUAAUAAACUCAACCGAAUUAUGCAACUUACGGGAUUCAGUGAUCUUGUGUAUGCUGAAGCAUAUGUCACAGUUCAUCAUUAUGAUAUUGUUCUUGAUGUUACUGUCAUUAAUCGGACGAGGAAUACUCUUCAGAAUUUAUGCCUGGAAUUGGCAACCAUGGGAGAUUUAAAACUUGUGGAAAGACCACAGAAUUACACACUGGCACCAGAAUCAACCAAGCAAAUUCGAGCCAAUAUUAAGGUUUCUUCAACUGAAACUGGUGUUAUAUUUGGUAAUAUUGUUUAUGAAACCUCAAAUGUUAAUGAACGGACAGUCAUUGUCCUUAGUGACAUUCACAUUGAUAUUAUGGACUACAUUUCUCCUGCUACAUGCUCUGACGUAGCAUUCAGAAGUAUGUGGGCAGAAUUUGAGUGGGAAAAUAAGGUAAACCAUCCUAUUUUUUAAAUUUUGCAUUUCAGUUUUUAGAGUGAAAUUAUGCUGCAUCACAAAUUAUAAUCGUUGAUCAGUCUAUAGAUCAAUGAUGCUAUUAAAUAUAUAGCUGGCGUUAUAUAGCAUACCAUAACCCCUGUUAUUCCAUAGCGUGAAUAAUUCAAACCUUGCGUUAUCUUAGUAAAUUUCAUUACAUUUACUAUCAUCUUAUUUAUUAUUAGACGUUAUAGCAUGCCAUAACCCGAUUUAUUCCAUAGCGUGGAAUGGAUAACUCAAACAUUGUUUUAUCGACUUAUCGUGGUAAAUUUUAUGACAUUUACUAUCAUUUUAUUUAUUAUUUGGCGUUAUAGCAUAUGUCAUAUCCCCGGUGGAAUGGAUAAUUCAAACCUUGUUGUUAUUGUAGUAAAUUUCAUUACAUAUACUAUCAUCUUAUUUGUUUUUGCCUGUUCAAUUAUUUUAUUAUAAUGUGCAUAUUUCAGGUUCAUUUUCAUAAUUUAUCUUCGUUGUUUGUCUUUUAUUUAUAACUGUUAAUGGGUCUGUCCUGCAUUUCAGGUGGCUGUGAACACUGUUAUUCAAGACGAGCAGCAAUUCUUGGGUCAUAUUAUAAAGUCAACAAACAUGAAAUGCCUCACAGCACCGUAAAUUCUGAGCCCUUUCAUUUUUUAGCUAUUAUACAAUCUCUUUUAUUAUCAGCAAUUAUCUAUACCGUAUUUUCUUUUGCUGUGUCUUCAUGAAAAUUUGAUUACAUUAUCCCAAAUUUGCACAUUCGUGCUAAACUUUAGCUUUGGUUAAAAUGUUCUUCUGUUUGUUGCUCGAAUCAGGUCUGCAUUGGAUGGACAAUGUGGUUUCCUCGCAGCAAAUCUAUAUGCUAAGAGUGUAUUCGGAGAGGAUGCUCUAGUGAAUGUAAGUAUUGAGAAGCAAACUGAUGGGAAGUUAAGCGGGUACAUAAGAAUAAGGAGCAAGACUCAAGGUAUUGCUCUAAGCUUAGGAGACAAGAUCACAAUCAAACAGAAGGGAGGUUCUUAGAAGAAGAAGAAGAAUUAACCACCAGGUUUUACUUUUUAUGAGCUUGCGUUUAUUUUUGGAUCAACCGUCUCUUAUUCCGAUUUCCAAAACUACCUUUCGCUUGCAAUAAAUACCAAUACUUCCUCCUUUAGAACAGCACCACACUCGAGUCGCUCUUGAUACAAAGAUUUCUUUCACUUGUAUUGGAAUUUGGAAAGAAAUGUUUAGUUAGCAGUCAGUUAUUUGUGUAUGGGUUACAUAUUUACUUUCGAACUCUAUUGUUUUAUCACCAUCUUUCACCAUUUUAUCACCUGCUACCAUUUAUCCAUUGGUCAUAUUUUGGAUUUUGAGAUUUUGGAGAGGCAUUCUUGCCCGAGUAUUAAAGUCUCAUUAAUUUACCGAGGAUUUAGUUUAUCAACAUAUUUCAACAUCAAUUGACAAAUCAUACUUUUUUUUUAAAAAAAAUUCACAUUAAUGAAAUGAACGACUCAUUUCAUCUCACAAAUCCAACGGUUAUGACUCAUCAUCAUCCUUAAAUAGUCUCACCAUCAAUAAGUAUUAUUAGAUGUUUCUUUUAUCUAAAUAAAUAAAUAUAAGUGUUAACUGUUGAGAAAUGAUAUUUUAUAUAGUUGGGACUUGGGAUAAGCGGUGUUUAAAAUUUAAAUAGAAUGUUAAAUAUAAAGAAUCGUAAUAUGGUUAGAAUUAACAGGACUUAGAACACCAUUAAAGGUCAUGGUAAUACCUAAAUGGAUACUUUGAAUGUUUUGAUGCUAAAUUAAACUAGAUCUUAGAUUACUUGUGAAGGUUUAAUUUAUUCAGAAAUAUAGAAAUUGAUGGUGUAUAGGCUUACAAGUUAGUCGCCACACACGCACAACAAUCUCUCUUGCACAAGGUGAAGUAUUCUCUCUAUUUUUCAACCACUUCCCUUGUUGGACUUCGUUCAUGGACUUCCUGAACCUCCAUCGGCUCAGCCCCGUUGUUCGGGCGAGGAAGACUCAUGGUCUGUUCGGCCUGAGGUCCGCUUGGACGGGUCUCGAUACCAACAGAAAUGCUUGUACUAAGUUGAUAGUCUAUCUAAUAUAAGUUAGUAAUGAAAAUGUAAAUAUGUUUGUAGAUAUACGUGGAAAAGUAGAUUUUUUUUCGAAUAAAAAUCGUGAUAAAUAUAUACCUGAAAAAAUGGUACACCACGUGGCAGUGAGCCUCGCUGAACUUGACCCCAUAUAGAGGCAGCCCGAAGGCUACAAUUAACACAAAUCGUAAUAAAAACAAAGAUAACUCAUACACUCUCUAAAAAACUCAUUUGUCUAGUCUCAUAUUUCCACACACCCUUCCCUUUCAUCUCGGUUUCAGAAACCCUUCAAAAAGGUUAAGAUAUGCUUCCGCCCGCCAUGUGCUUGUGUUCACCCGAUGGCUCGACACUCCUAUGCGAACAUAGUUCAUUGAAGACAUCCUUCUUCCCCUCCUCCCCGAAAGAAGACAAGGAUCGAAAUCGCCAACAAUCAACUAAGUCGACUAGUCAGACGUGGGACAAACGUAGGGUAGCCACCGCCACCCUUCCACCCCAAAAGAGUUUUGUUCCUUAGGGUAUCUUACCAUACCCAAUUUGGGAUCCGGACCCACUAUUAAGUAACAUCCGUUGGGGGGUUAUUUUGGAUACCCCCUCUAUCUCAUACAACAAAUAACAUGUCCUCCAUAGUUGAGUUUCUAGAUUUAAAUGUAGAUAUAUCAUAGACAAUACGUACAUCCACAACUAUACGCCGUACUAGCUCUGGUGUCGGUAAAGAUCUGCUCUUAUGCUUCCUCCGAUUACGCUCACCCCAAAUUGUCCAUGUGGUUGACUCAAGUAUAGUCCAACACAUGCCCCAUGCAGGUGAUCGUCGUGUUCUCGUGUCUCCCCAGUUCAUAUAUGAUUCGAUCUUUACAUUUGUCGUUGUCAAAAAAUCCCCUACAUGCCUACAGAUCUUCCUCCAUACAUCUCUGGAAUAACUGCAUCCGAAGUAUAUAUGGUCGAAACUCUCCAGCUUUGUUGUGCACAACCAGCAUUGUUUAGGUUGAGGGUACCCCCACCCAAUCAGCUUGUCCCUGCAUCGUGAUCCUCCGAAGGUUAGCCCUCCACAUCGUCAUAGCAUACUUGUUGACGUCCGAUGCCCAUAUCCUUGUUGCUAUGUCUUCCCUUGGUGAUGUGGAGUGAGUUACUAUACUUUAUAUCAAUUAGUAAUUGAGCCCAAUAAGAGUGGUUAAUACUUUGUAUUGUUAAUGUUUAUUGUUAGUCUAAUAAUUAGUUAAACAGAGUCACAAAUUCACAUGGUGGGCUUAGAAAGAGUUAGCCUUGACCAAUAUGAUCUUUCCGCAGGAGGAGGGAUUGCAAGAUUUUGGAAUGCUCCAGGUAUCAGCGAUGAUCAACAAAGCAACAAAAUUAUGGACCAGUAGCACAAUUUGGUCACGAUGGAUGAAAUCAAGGUACGUCCGCAACCAGUCGCUCAAUCAAAUAUAACCACGUUACAAUGAUUCACCGACAUGGAAAGGAAUUAUGAGAAAUAGAAAGGCCACCUACAAAUGCACGACAUAUAAUGGAAAUUAUGAAAUCAACUGGAUAAGAAGCAUCGGCAGACUGACAAUCCUGCAGUAGAAAUUUGGGGGGCCAAGGUCAACAAAAUGAAUCUACUAAUGUGGAGGUUGUGUUGGAGGAAUAUCCCAACUAUGGACAAAAUCCAGAAGAGAUGAGUGACAGGUCCGAUUAGGUUCAUGUUGUGUUCUAACGAUGCGGAGACGGUUGACCACGUCUUCUACAAUUGCGUAUUCUAGAGGGAAUUAAGUCAUCGAUGAAUGUCUGGUGGCAGCAGGAAACGUCGUCGUCACCAUAGGACCAGAUUGCACUUUCAAUUUUACUGCGAAAAUCGUCGUCGUCUGGUUUGAGCUCUGCACUGGUCGCUACUAGGAGCAAUAUUAUGGCACCUUUGGAAAGAGCGGAAUGCGAGGAUCGAAAAGGACAAAUUUGUUACCGGCGGAAUCCUGGCUAGAAAAGUGAUUAAUAGGGGAUUAGAUAGAUAUUUUAUGUUAAUUAGCUAUGGUAAUUUUGUAUAAAAUAAUAAAACUCAGCUAUUUACAAUUUUACAUUAAUAUCAAUGAAUCAACACUUGAAAAAAAAUAUUACUCAGCCAAUCCCAAAUUUCUAAAGGUCGUUAAAGGCAUACUAGAGACAUUCUCAGCCUUCACAGGUCUAACAAUCAAUCCUCAAAAAAGUUCUAUCACCUUCUCCAAGAUAUGUGAAAGCUCCACAGAACUCCAACAGAUCUUUGAUUUCCCAGUUUCUAAACUCCCCAUAGUUUAUCUAGGCCUCCCCAUAAGUCAUAACAGGGAAAAAAAAAUCUUACAACUAAUGUUGAAAGUUAAUACAACCCAUAGAAGGCUUGCUAGCUAAAUGGAGGGGCAAAUACCUCUCCUAUGGAGGUAGAAUCCAACUAGUAAACUGGAUACUAGCUGGAAAAUACACAUACUGGGCCCAAGGCAUCAAUCUACCUUCCUCUGUCCACAAAAAAAUUCAAAGGCUGGCGUACCAGUUCAUUUGGGAUGGAAGGAGAGGGAUACCAUGGUCAUUAAUGAUUCUACCUAAGGAGGAGGGAGGAUUAGGAGUUAGAAACCUCCAAAUGAUAGCCUUUGUUGCUCCUAUUAAAAAAACAGCCACAAUAUGUGAUAAGCAAUCUAUAUUUGCACAAUGGAUGCAGAGAAGAUACACCAAAGGCAUGGCUCUUAACAAUAUUAGCCCUAAACACUCCAUUGACUCUGCCCAAUGGAAAGAGAUCUUAGACUCCAAAGAGAAAACCGAUCAAUGCUUGAAAUGCAGGGUCGAAAAUUCUCUAAUUUGAAAAAUUGGAAAUGGAAAACAGAACUUAAGAACCAUCAUUGAAGCCUUAAGAACCAAGGCCACUAAGGAUCCUCUAGCCAAAGGUAUAUGGUCUCAUAUGCCGACAAAAUUCUCAGUAAUGUUGUAGAGGAUAAAAAAUAAACAGAUCAAAACUCUACAGAUGUUCGUCGCAUGGGGUAUCUCCAUACAACUAACCUGCCUCCUCUGUGGUCAGGGAAUUGAGACCAUCAGCCACCUAUUUUUUAAUUGCCCAUAUAUUAGAAAACUUCUUCUACAACUCUCUGAAUAUCUCAACCAGGCCCUUUGGAAAAUAUCAAACUCUCCCUCCGACCCUCACACAUCUAGAUAUUAGAUUUGGAGAUGUAAUAGAAUCAUGUCAAAAACUGACGCAUCAGACUCCUCCAUGGGGCCUACAUUGAAAUGUUAUUGGUUGUCUCACAUGACACAUUUAGUCUGAACGAAACAGGAGGCAUCGCCAACACCCUCUCAGACCCCAGAAGUAAUUUUAGCUGAUAUAGUAAAGACUGUAGAAUAUCUUUUAAAGCUGAUAUCUUUAAGAAAAAAUGUGGUUCACAAUUGGAAAAGACUAUUAUGCAGGUUUGGGAGACAACCUUCCUGAGGCCAAAUUUUUAGUUAGAACACUGGGAAGGAUAGUUAUAUAGAAGAAGGUCGAUAUAUUGGAUAUCAUAAUAUCAACCCCAUCGCAUUUUAUUUUCUUAUUCAAUUGUAUUUGAACUUUUAAUAUUUGUAAAAAAAAAAACACUUCAAAAAAAUGGAAUAAAUUAUUUCUGACUUUUUUGACGGUUGAAGAGAAAUCGAUAAAUAAUGAACGGUGUUGACUGUUGAGUAGAAAGAAGUUCACACAAUCACACCUUUCUUUUAACAAAAUUUACUAAUUACAAAAAUAAAAUUAUCUUUUACGUACAUGUAAUUUGUAAUUUGACCAAGGUGUGGGCUGGAUUUAAAUUCUAGUUUGCGAACAAAAUCCGCGAUCUGAGAAUCCGAGAUCUGUUCGGUCGUCUCAGAUCUCGUUCUCCGUUCAUACCUGCAAUCAGUUCCGAUUCUCUUCUCACCCAAGGUACGACGAACGCUCCCUUUCUUCUUCUUCUCGUCCGAGAUCCAUAAGAUCCACAACUAUCCAGAAUUCACCGGUCAUGUUCUUAUUUUAGGGGGUUUUGUCCCAAAUAAUUUUUCUCAUUCUGAUCGGUAGAUUUUUUGUGUGUGUGAAGAUGAGUGAGAAACCGUGCACGUUGCUCGUCCACUUCGACAAGAGUGCACCGGCUCUUGCCAAUGAGAUCAAGGAAGCGCUGGAGGGGAGCGAUGUCGGUUCCAAGAUCGAUGCGAUGAAGAAGGCUAUCAUGAUUCUGCUUAACGGGGAAAGCAUCCCGCAUCUAUUCAUCACCAUCAUCCGCUACGUACUCCCUUCCGAAGACCACACAAUCCAGAAGCUCCUCCUUCUGUACCUCGAGAUCAUUGAUAAGAAGGACUCUUCCGGAAAGGCACUUCCGGAAAUGAUCUUGAUUUGCCAGAAUUUGAGGAAUAAUCUUCAGCAUCCCAAUGAGUAUAUCCGGGGCGUU